rnacentral:miRNA from 1 species
AAAACAUAUAAUAGCUUUGUUUGUGGAAACACCACGUAAACCUAUUACUGCAUGCAAUAAUAAAUUUACGUGGUGUUUCCACAAACAAAACUAUUAUAUUCAUAUCCAACUAUC